AUACGGAGGGUGCAAGCGUUAUUCGGAAUUACUGGGCGUAAAGCGCGUGCAGGCGGGUGGACAAGUCUGAUGUGAAAGCCCCGGGCUCAACCUGGGAAGUGCAUUGGAAACUGUUCAUCUUGAGUGCUGGAGAGGAAGGGGGAGUUCCCGGUGUAGAGGUGAAAUUCGUAGAGAUCGGGAGGAAUACCAGUGGCGAAGGCGCCCUUCUGGACGGUAACUGACGCUGAGACGCGAAAGCGUGGGGAGC
rnacentral:rRNA from 1 species